UUUUUAAUAACCACAAAUAAAAUGCCACAACUUUUCACAGGAAGGCAUGUCACUGUGGAAGCUCUUCUGCAAUGGGUUCUACUACUUAAAAAAGAAGAAACCCAAAUGACAACUUUAUGAGGACCCACAAUGAAAGACACAACACUCCAUGGAGGAUAAGUACAACAAAAAGAAAUGUAUAAUAGCAGUGCAAAGAAGAGUAAAGAAACAGAUGAAAGCAUGGCUCCCUUAAACAGAGGGCUGGAUUACCAAUUUUUUGGCAGAUCAGGAGAACCUUUCCAGUUGGGCCAAUAACUGAGAUUCAUAGAGUACAGUAACAGGUAUCACAUCGAAGUGACACAGGGGCCACUGUGAACACUUAAAUGACUCCUUCCUCUGCACAAGGCCAUGAAGAACAUGGCACUCUUAUACCCUCAU